GACUAUACACCGUUUUCACUCCAAAUUGGAUACAGAACAUAUCAGAAAGUGUGCGGUAAUGGUAUUUAGCGCUGCUGGUUCAAAAUACACAUUGUGGAUGAUCCAUUGACAUUUCUCUCUACAACAUUUCAGUUUCGUUUAUUGUAGUAUCAUAAAGUUUCCUGCCUGUCCGGACCGCUGUGCUUCAUGCGCAAUAGACUGAGAAUUUGAGUACAGUACAUAGGAAAUGACUCAUAGGAGUUCAACUGUUAGCGUGGGUGUGUACUCUAUUAAAACAAGGCUCAGACUACUCCGGAUGACUCAGUGCGAGGCUGUUCUUCAGAUGAACUUUCGGGAAUUGCGUUUAUACAAGAACGAUGGCUUCAUACGUUCUCUGUGCGCUUUGUGGACUGAUCAUUGCGACUAUAGUGAAACUAAACGGAGUGAAUGGGCAAAGCCUAUGCACCAGUAAAGAGUUCUGGAGUUCAGACAUAGACCAAUGUGUAUCCUGCUCAACAUGUAAGCAGUAUCCAAAGACCCCUUCAUGUAACACUUGCACAUUUACAGAGGAGAGAUCUGAUGUCUGGAGACUGGCAGCCAUUUCCAGCUUCUCUGUGCUGGCAGUCGUUCUGCUCAUUGCAGUGUUGAUCAUUGGGGUCAUGGUGCAUCGACGCACGGCAAACAAUAGGCCCCUUCGUGGUAGGGCUCACGGCUACCAUCUCCUGCUAAACUAACAUUAACCUAUUGAAGAGACAACGGGACCUCUUUACCAAGCUUAAACAUUUCAGUAGCUUCAUCUUCUUCCUGACAUCGAUGUGACAGAACCAAGGGAACACCUUUUGAGGACCAAUCGUCAGAAGAAUUUCUGUACAAUGGACUGUGGGUAUUAUUUCAGCAGAGUUUGACCAUUUUGAAUUGAUACUGCUAGUUAGUAAAGGUGUGCUCACACUCAUUAGACUGUUACAGAACGGAGCUCUCACAUAGAGCUGUGUUGACUCCCGCUGUCAAUCCCGUCUUGUCUGAAGUCAGACUGUGCUCUGAGGAAGACCAUGUGGUUAGUAAAGAGUAGCUCUCACAGCUCUUUUGGUAUUGAUGUCCUUUGAGUUAUGAUGCUAGUUUUAGCCAGUGUAGAUAUUCCAAUCUAUCGAUAAGUCAUUUGUUCAAAAACAGUAUUGAACAUGAGACACAUCUUGAAUGAUUUGUAUUUAUUACCAUAACUGUCAAUGCUUGAUCACCUAUUACUGUAUUGGUGUCAGACAUUUAGCUUAUUAGGUAGAAUACCAGCUAACACACUGCCUCGACUUGCCACAAGCAGGAUGAAUGUGAAUACAGCACAAUCAAGCUUUCUGGGCCAGGUUUGACCUACUGUACUUCUAAGAAUAAAAGGUUUAUAUUUGCUGGUCAUA